GUCGGCAAAUCAAACUUUAGUCAGCUAUUUAAUAAACUCAGUGUAUACCAACUGUGUUGUUGAUACAUACCAGUAAUGAUUUAAUAUAUGAUUAGGAAAAGAAAAACAGCAACGAGCAAGAUAAGGCAAAGAAAGGGUUAGAAGGCACUGGUAUAGAUUUACCUAUUAACCGUCGUGCCAACCUCAAAAGCGCUACCAGCGAUGACGACUUCACCAAUUUUUUUUCUUCUUCUUCCUAUUGCUUUGUAUGCGUUCUUACAUGAGAUAUGUAUUUGAUUCUUAUGUUCCGUCACAAUAUUGUUUGCAGGCUGUUAUCAAAUAUGGCGCUACUUGGUGUCCCGUUUGUAUCCAAAUUCUCCCAGCAUUCUGUAGACUAAGCAAUAAUUUUCCAAAGCUUACCUUUGUAUACACAGACAUCAAUGAAUGCUCGGAAACAACUCAACACAUUCGGUACACUCCCACCUUCCAAUUUUACCGGAAUGGUGAAAAGGUAGAUGAAAUGUUUGGUGCUGGUGGGGAAGAGAGGCUCCAUGAUCGCCUGUGGUUGCACUCUUAACUCCGUGUAAGAGAAACAUUAUGUUUGCAAUUUCUCUAUGUAAGUAGCAUUGUCAAUCAUGAACAAUUCCGUGAAUGAUAGAACAAAACUUAAUUA